AAAUGUUAAAAUUCUUUUAGAAUUUGUCUUAGCAGGAUUUACCAUUUUUGCUGGAAAGUACCCCC
ensembl:snRNA U7 U7 small nuclear RNA